rnacentral:lncRNA from 1 species
GAGAGUGUGCCUUCCUCUAGUGACUCCGUCCACGUGGCAUCGUCACGUUCUAGCUUCGGAGAAGAAUGACGGCAUUUGGUGGCUUCAUCAGGCCAACUUCCUUCCUCGCAGUGACAUCGACACAACCUGCCUCAAGUGCUUCCAAGAAACUACCUAUUCUAGAAUAAAUAAGUACUGCUGAUUUUUCUUUUUUACAUUUUUUU